AUUGUCUGGGGAGGGAUGUGGGGGCAGAGGGGCCCCGUUUCUCUCCAUCCUCUUCUUUGGCCUGACUGCCUUCCAUCUUUGGUCCCUUUUCCCCAUGUCCUGGCAUGGCCCCUCAGGGGAGAGGCUUAACCUCCUGCCACAGUUUACUCAUCUGCAGUGGGGACCUGAGCCCUGAACUGAACAGCGAGAGAGUGUUCUGCCCUGGGAGGAGCGAGGGCAGCCUCUUCUGGAGGUGGCUUAAGCAGCUGUGUGUCUAUCUUGGGUCUUGAAUACCAUGAGUAAUUGCCAGUGUUUAAUUGCCUACUUAUGUGUUGGGCAGUCUACGUGGACUAUCUUGUACCAUCGGUACCAUACUCCCAGGAGGCAGGUACUGUUAUUAUCACACCCAUUUUCCACAUGAGGAAACUGAGAUGCAAACGGUACUGCAGGAAGUAGCAGGGCUGGGAUUCAAGCAAAGGUUGCCUGGAUCCAAGCCUCCAGGUUCAUCACUGACCUCUUGUCUCCUGAAGAGGUCAGCCCCUGGGGAAUGAGAGGCUGCAUCUGUUUCACAGAUGAGUAAAUUAAGGCAUUUAGCAUCAAGGACCCCUGCUGGGAGGAAUUUUGACCUCCUCUGCUGCCAAGAACACAGCCCAUCUUUUAAAAUGGGUGGUUUAGGGGGCAGUGUCUGGGUCUGGGGUGCUGAGCCCUUUCCCCUUAUCCCCACAGCCAGGCUGGAUCCCAGGGAAAGAGAGCAGAAGAGGUCAGGCCCAAGCCCAGAGCUGCUCAGAAUGGGAUAUCCAUGUAGGUGGCCAUGGCGAUUUCUGGAUUUGGAAGCGACAACGCAUCUCAGGGGGUCCCGCUCAGUCCCUGGGGCGCCUACAGAGGCCAGCGGUGGGCAGCUCCUUCGACCUGGCCAGCCAUGCCUUCAUGGGGCCUGAGAACCUGGCCUUGGAUGUGGCCUCAGAAGAGCCUGCUGGUACCAGGCAUCCCCCAUCCCCAGGGUCUGCUCCUGGACAUGGGGAUCAGGGACCCUCAGGCUGUACCUGUCAGCAGUCCCCACCCACAGCCCCAGAGGUCCCUCUGAGGCCUGAGUUACCCAGCAACCUGGAAGACGCACCCCUGUUGCCCCACCCUGCAUCCUUCCCCAGGGCAGAGGGAACAAAGGGCAAGCCUGACACCCUAGGGACUGCCUUGCCAGAGCCUGCCCAGACCCUACACACAUGUCCCUCCUCCAGGAGGACCCGCUACUACAUCACUGUCACCCUGCUGGGGUACAGGCAAGUACCUGGGGAGGAGGGCGAAGAACCGGCCCAACCAGCUCCACACCCCUGCGGCCCUGAGGAAUCCGAGGGCUGGUGGGAGCCUCCUCAUGGGCCCCGCCCCAUCACAGGGUGCUGGACGACCCAGCCCCAGGAACCCCAGCUGAGAGCCCAAUCGCAUCAGGGGAGCAUGGCCCAGCGGCAGGAGCUCCAGGCUGGCUGGACACCUGGGUCCCCACACAGACUGGAGCUAGACCAUAGUGGGACAAGGACACCUCCAGACGGGUUACCAGGGCCCCACAUGGAGGAGGCAGGUGGGCCCACGGCCCGGGCCAAGGCCCGAGUGGUAAGUGCCACAUUGACAUGGCGGCAGCGGCCCCCUGCCCAGGAAGAGAUCAAACACCAUUUUCACAAGGUGUCCCUCGUGUCAGGGGCCCAGACAGAAGCCUCCCAGAAGGAGUUCAGCCACCGUGGAGAGGAAGUCAAUGGCUUUGCUACACAGGAAGCAGAGACUGUGAAUUACCAGGGCCCUUGGGAUGCAGCUGACUCCAAGAACUUCCAGAGCCACGGGCCCAUCUUUUCCAAGAAGUACAUACCACCUCCCAAGGAGAAAAGGCCUGAGGGGAGGCUAAAGGAAGCUGUGGAUCAGACUGAUGGCAGCCCCCAAGCUCCCAGGACUGAGUCCCCGCGUGUGGGAGCUAUGGCCAGGACUGAGCUUUUGGUUCCUCUGCCUGGGCCCCGAGAGCCAAGUCCCCACCCAAGCGUGGGUCUCACCUGUGGGAGCUCCCGGAGCCUCGAGGAACACCGUGUGACGCGCACUGUACGGACCACCACGGUGGUGGGAGGCCAUGUGGACCGGCGGGUGAGCAGCACUGUGACUGUGAAGCCAGUGUCCUCAGGCGAGGCCCUGCCACGAGGCCGUCAGGUCACCCGCAUGGUGCAGCCAGUGGUGCUGGGCUCCCCGCCAGGCUCACCCAGGCACAACCAGGCUGUGAAACUGCUAAGUAGACUUGUGCCUGCUGAGCACAGCCCCCCUGCCAGCCACCUGCCCAGGCCCACGGCUGGCAUGCCAAGGAGCCCAGGUCUGGGUGCCACAGUGGGGGCAGCCUGGAGGCAGCUGCCUGAGACUGGGACAGCAGAGCUUAAAGACAGCUCUGCCCUGGCUCCUUCAGGCAUCCCAGCUGGUGCUCACCUGCCCAAGAAUCAGGAUGUCCCUGCUGCCUGUCCAGACCAAGACCAGGGCAGAGUCCCAGAUGCCAGGGCCUGUGAGCCCCCGCGGGUGCUGGGAGCCCCCAGCUCCACUGAGCUUCCUCUCCAGACUUCUCAGGGUCAAGCAUCAGUCCCCUCCUUUCCCAGACUCCAGACCCAUGUCCCCUCUCCGGGCCUAGCUCACCCCGCAGAGCAGCCUGUGGUGCCCACUCACCCCAGGUCCCAGCUCAGUCCCCAUGUUCUGCCCCCUAUAAAAAGGGAAGGGCUCGUGGACCUCCCUGCUGCCACUGUCCUGCCCAUGGUGAGGAGCGAGCAUGUGACAGUCCCUGGACAACCCCUUGCUCCAUCCUCUACAGGAAGGAAGGCUGUCCCCAGCCCAGGAGGUCUUUCUGCUCCAUCGUCCCCAAGGAAUAAGUUUAUUCAGGACUCUGAUAAUGUUCCUGUCUUCCCCUUUACCCAGAAGGAGGUGGUGUGGGGCCCUGGUGCUCCAGCUGCCUCUUCCCCCAGUCGGAAAGAGGAAGUGAAGGACCCCGGUGCUCCUGCUGCCUCAUCCCCCACCCGGAAGGGGGACCCAGAUGCUCCUGCUGCCUCGUCCCCCAGCCGGAAAGAGGCAGUGAAAGGACC
rnacentral:lncRNA from 1 species